rnacentral:misc_RNA from 1 species
GAUGAAGAACGCAGCAAAAUGCGAUAAGUAAUGUGAAUUGCAGAAUUCAGUGAAUCAUCGAAUCUUUGAACGCACAUUGCGCCCGCCAGUAUUCUGGCGGGCAUGCCUGUUCGAGCGUCAUUUCAACCAUCAAGCCCCAGGCUUGUGUUGGGGACCUGCGGCUGCCGCAGGCCCUGAAAACCAGUGGCGGGCUCGCUAGUCACACCGAGCGUAGUAGCAUACACAUCGCUCAGGGCGUGCUGCGGGUUCCGGCCGUUAAACCCCUUUUUUACCCAAGGUUGACCUCGGAUCAGGUAGGAAUACCCGCUGAACUUAAGCAUAUCAAUAAGCGGAGGA